AAAAACAAGGGAGAGUCUGAUUGGGCAGUUCCCCUUGGAGGCUGUCCUCAAGACAGUGACUCAGAGAUCUGGGCUACUUCUGUAUUACAGCUCUGCUAUCUCCUAGUACCUCCAUAGACUCCUCUGCUUGGUCAUCACUCAGCUGUCAAGUAAAGAGAGAGCAAGGAGGAUCACCCAGAAUGUUUCAUAGACAAGUCUAGAAGUGAUGUACAUUACUUCCCUCCGCAUUCCAUUGGCCAGAACCUGGUCAAAUAACACCAACCUAACUGCAAGCAGGACUGGGACAUGAGUCUUCCUGUGUAUCCAGGAAAAGGAAAAGGAAUUGACUUACUUUAUGCACCAUCUUUAUGCAAAUGGUGGAGCCCUCCUCAGCUGGAAUUGCUGCUGAUAAGUCAUAAUGUGGACUUUGCCCUCUGACCACUUUUGGAGAGUGACCAAAUCAAGACAGAAAAAUCGAAUCUUGCCAAAGACCACAUAGGAAGUUCUUGGCAAAGUCAGAUGAGAAAACAGAGUUCAUGAACUUCAAGGGCCAACAUUUUUAACCACUGCCUCUGUUCCUUGUUUUGGAAACCCCUUUUGAAUAAAAAAAAAAAAAUGUAGAAAAUUCUGGAAUUUUCUUGUUUUUUUCCAUGAUCAGUUUAAUGGAGUGGUGGAAAGAGCUCUGCACUAGGAGGCAGAGACUUAGACUCUUUAAAAAAAAAACAAAAACAACUUUGUAUAGUGAAACAUUUCAAUGAAUCCUUUGUCCCAUCACUCAGCUUCAAGAAUCUUAAACUCAUAGCCUAUCUUAUUUCAACUAUAUCCCACUGAAUUCCUUCCUCCCAUAUAAUUUUGAAGCAAAUUCCAGACA